rnacentral:rRNA from 1 species
AGUGAACGCUGGCGGUAGGCCUAACACAUGCAAGUCGAACGGCAGCACAGUAAGGGCUUGCUCUUACGGGUGGCGAGUGGCGGACGGGUGAGGAAUACAGUGGAAUCUACUUUUUCGUGGGGGAUAACGUGGGUAAAAUUACGCUAAUACCGCAUAUGACCUACGGGUGAAAGCAGGGGAUUUUCGGACCUUGCGAGACUGAAUGAGCCGAUGUCGGAUUAGCGAGUUGGUGGGGGAAUGGCCCGCUGAGGCGACGAUCCGUAGCUGGUCUGAGAGCAUCAACCGCCACACUGUAACUGAGACACGGCCCCGACACCUACGGUAAGCAGCAGUCGGGAAUAUUGGACGAUGGACGCAAGCCUGAUCCAGCAAUACCGCGUGAGUGCAGAAGGACUUCGGGUUGUAAAGCCCUUUUGUUGGGAAAGAAAAGCAGCAGGUUAAUCACCCGCUGUUAUGACGGUACCCAAAGAAGAAGCACCGGCUAACUUCGUG